rnacentral:rRNA from 1 species
CGCCCGCCGCGCGCGGCGGGCCUACGGGAGGCAGCAGUGGGGAAUAUUGCACAAUGGGCGCAAGCCUGAUGCAGCCAUGCCGCGUGUGUGAAGAAGGCCUUCGGGUUGUAAAGCACUUUCAGCGGGGAGGAAGGCGGUGAGGUUAAUAACCUCAUCGAUUGACGUUACCCGCAGAAGAAGCACCGGCUAACUCCGUGCCAGCAGCCGCGGUAAUA